rnacentral:rRNA from 1 species
GAUGAACGCUGGCGGCGUGCCUAAUACAUGCAAGUCGAGCGAACAGACGAGGAGCUUGCUCCUCUGACGUUAGCGGCGGACGGGUGAGUAACACGUGGAUAACCUACCUAUAAGACUGGGAUAACUUCGGGAAACCGGAGCUAAUACCGGAUAAUAUAUUGAACCGCAUGGUUCAAUAGUGAAAGACGGUUUUGCUGUCACUUAUAGAUGGAUCCGCGCCGCAUUAGCUAGUUGGUAAGGUAACGGCUUACCAAGGCAACGAUGCGUAGCCGACCUGAGAGGGUGGUCCGCCACCCGGGAAGUGAGGAAGCGUCCAGACUCCUACGGGGAGCAGCAGUAGGGAAUCCUACGGAAUGGGGGAAAGGCCAAUCGAGGAAAGCCGCGGGAGUGAUGAAGGUCCUCGGAUCCGAAAACUAUGUUAUUAGGGGAGUACAAAAGUGUUAGUAACUAUGCACGUCUUGACGGUACCUAAUCAGAAAGCCACGGCUAACUACGUG